rnacentral:tRNA from 1 species
GGUAAAAUGGCUGAUAAUAGGUGAUAAACUGUAAAUUUAUUUAUGAAAGUGAUUUCUUUUACCA